UCAAGUCGCUACAUCACCUUCGCCAUCAUCAGCAAAACCCUUUACGUUUACGAAGAAGCCAUUCAUGGGCCUAUAAAAGGCUGCCCACUCGGUCUACUUCUAUGUCAAUCGUUUGCUUGUGCUUCUCGAGGACGUAUCUCAAUUUAACAACAACAAAUUAAAAAUGUUCAAAUAUUUGAUUUUUGCUCUCGUCAUGGCAUUUGCUGCUGCCACACCAAUUCUCCCACUUAGCCCAGUAGUGACCUAUAGUGCUGGCUCAUUGUUGCCAACCGAAUAUGUAUCCCCGUCACAGGCCUUCUAUGGAUCCCAUGUCUAUGCUGCUCCCUAUCCAUACAACUACAUCGGAGGUUACAGAUCAAUUCCAUAUUCUCUGUAAGGAUGAAUAAUGAUUGAAUAUUAUGGGAAUCCUUUUGUAAUGACAAAAAUUGCUGGUUAAAAAUAAAAAUGAAUUUGAAUGCGAAAAAA